AUGGGGAGAUAGCGGUGCCCUGUAACCCGCAAUCCGCUAUAGCGGGAUCGAAUUCCCAUCAAGAGGUCUCGCGCCUGUGGACUGAGCGGUGGAAAGUGGUGUCGAAGGUCAGAUUCUGCGCAACGCACGGCUUCCGAACUCCGUCAGGACCGGAAGGUAGCAGCGGUAAGCGAUACACCUCGGGUGCCGCGGGAACGCCGGGCUGGAGUCGAUUCUGUCAUCUAAGUCAUAUCCGUCUGUCGAAACUGGGG
rnacentral:SRP_RNA from 1 species